rnacentral:lncRNA from 1 species
GUUGUUUUGUUUGGUUGGUUUGUGUUCUGUCACCUUUUUAGCACCCAGUUUCUGAAUCCUUUCUUCCAAUUUUUGGUUAUUAGCUUUUUGAGGUGGAAGGAUCCUCGCUCACAGCCUUUUCUCCCUGCAGCGCUUUCUUUCGAUGCAGAACGAGCCCCAGGCACCCCAGCAGGCCGCACGCUUCUCUUUCGCGGUGGAUGAGGUCGCCUGCAGAUCCAGGCUGGGCCUUAUGGGCUGCCCAGGCGGAGCGGGACUUCCCGGUCAUCGUCAUCCUCCGCUCCCCGCGCUCAGCCUGGCCCGAGCUCGGCUUCCCCAGCCCCUGUCCACCGCCCACCUGCUGAGGAGCAGCAGAGUGCUGUGUCACUCAGGAGUUGGGGACCCCUGACCCAGCCCAACCGCCCUCGUGCGCUGUGCAGAAAGGUAAGGUCAGUGCCGAAGAUCGUAUGAGCACCACGCGGUACGAGGCCAGUUCUUUGGGGUUUCUUUAUAGAGACUCCAUCUGUCAGACCACACACAGGGGGCUUCAAAUUCACGGUAUGCUCCCCAACACACCGUAACUGGGAGCAUCUAGAUACUGUACUCUGGUUUUCUCAUCUGGAAAAGACUAUGAGCUUGAAGGUACAUUUAACAAAA